UACGUAGGGGGCAAGCGUUGUCCGGAAUCAUUGGGCGUAAAGAGCGUGUAGGCGGCUCGGUAAGUCCGCUGUGAAGGCCCGGAGCUCAACUCCGGAACUGCCUUUAAGACUGCAUCGCUAGAAUUGUGGAGAGGUGAGUGGAAUUCCGAGUGUAGAGGUGAAAUUCGUAGAUAUUCGGAAGAACACCAGUGGCGAAGGCGACUCACUGGACACAUAUUGACGCUGAGGUGCGAAAGCGUGGGGAGCAAACAGG
rnacentral:rRNA from 1 species